GACUGCUCCGGUGGCCUAGUGGUUAGAGCAUCCACCUCAGAUGCAGGAGGUCGUGGGUUUGAUCCCUGGCUGGGUCA